UAUAGAAUAUGAAGAGUUGUAGAGAAAAGUCUGUAAACACUUGAUUUAGACGUCUACUAUUACUACUUUUUUUUAUCGAUAUCGAAAUAGCAGGCUUACUCACUUACUCAAUCGGGUGUUGGUUCAAUCUUAAUUUCUUUGUUAAUCAGUUACUCAUUAUCUUAAUUUCUCAAUUAUAACAUUAGGGUUUCUGUUGUUGUUACAAAGUUAGGGUUUUCUUCUCCAUCAAUUUCUGUGUAUAAUUUGUGAGCUUGCAAGUUAGGGUUUUUAUAUAUAAUUUCUGUGUAUAAUCAAUUUUGUAUUCUCAAUCAAAAUUAGGGUUUCUGUUUUAAUGUUGUUUUCAAUUCCUGUGCGUGAAAUUGCAAUUAGUAGCAUAUACUGAAAGUUUGAUUGGUGGUUUUUAGAUUAGCGUGUUUUAAGAACUCUGAAUUGUAUUAAAUUUGAUUUUUGAUUUGAUGUUGUUUGAUAGGUGAAGGAGAAAUAAUUGAAGACUCAAGGCAUUAGAGAAAGCGCAACGGAUAAAAACCAGAUCCAAGAAGGGUGGUUUAAACUUCCAGUUACAGUUUUCCAGGAUAGCAUUGUAUCUGCAGUAGAGUUUAAACCAGACAGUUUACAUAGUGCAUAUUGUGUAGUAGUGGUCUUAUGUCUUGCUUAUCAAGGGCUCAAGCACCGAGUCUUUGAGGUCGAUCACAAGGAGAGUUUGGAGAGAUAAGGGUGUGCUUCUCCAGCUGAGUAUCAGCCACAAUUCAGGGCGAAAAAGAAAGAAUUGAAGGAACUUUUAUUCUCCAACAAAACUUCAAGAAAUGGCGGGAGGAAGUAAUAAGAAAAUAGCGAGAGGAAAACCGAAGAAAUAUGAGGAUGUCAAAAGAUUGAGGAAAGAAGACGUUGAAGAAACUAAUAUGAUUGAAGGUGAAAGUUUUGUUGUUGUGAUUAGACAAAAAAAACAAUAGAAAAACUUUCAAGCCAGCUUUAGGCCGUUAGCGAUAUUAAUAGCAGAAUAAUUGGUAAAGGGUGGUUGGGAAAUUCAUGAAAGAGAUCUCAAAACAACGGACUUCUGGGAAGUGAUCCAAGUUAUACUCUUAGAAUGAAAAAAUGCCAU